rnacentral:lncRNA from 1 species
CGAAACUAAUUAAUCAAUUGGUAUCUAAGAUAAGCUUGGUAUUUCAACCAGUAGUUUUUAAUUGGGAGUGGCUUAUCUGACUAUUUUGAUGGUGUCUAAGGCAAGUUUAGCAUACUCUUCCAUCGAUCUCACUUACAUGAUUAAUUUGAUGGAUUAUAUUUUGAUUAGAUUGCUAAGUGACUCGAGUUGAUCCAUGCCAUUAAGGUUGAUCAGUAUGACUGAUCUAGGUACUAUUUCAACCAGCAU